rnacentral:rRNA from 1 species
UACGUAGGGUGCAAGCGUUAAUCGGAAUUACUGGGCGUAAAGCGUGCGCAGGCGGCUCUGCAAGACAGAUGUGAAAUCCCCGGGCUUAACCUGGGAACUGCAUUUGUGACUGCAUGGCUGGAGUGCGGCAGAGGGGGAUGGAAUUCCGCGUGUAGCAGUGAAAUGCGUAGAUAUGCGGAGGAACACCGAUGGCGAAGGCGAUCCGCUGGGCCUGCACUGACGCUCAUGCACGAAAGCGUGGGGAGCAAACAGG